rnacentral:rRNA from 1 species
CCUACGGGGGGCUGCAGUGGGGAAUAUUGGACAAUGGGCGAAAGCCUGAUCCAGCCAUGCCGCGUGUGUGAAGAAGGCCUUCGGGUUGUAAAGCACUUUCAGUGGGGAAGAAAGCCUUGGGGCUAAUACCCUCGAGGAAGGACAUCACCCACAGAAGAAGCACCGGCUAACUCCGUGCCAGCAGCCGCGGUAAUACGGAGGGUGCGAGCGUUAAUCGGAAUUACUGGGCGUAAAGCGCGCGUAGGCGGUCUGAUAAGCCGGUUGUGAAAGCCCCGGGCUCAACCUGGGAACGGCAUCCGGAACUGUCAGGCUAGAGUGCAGGAGAGGAAGGUAGAAUUCCCGGUGUAGCGGUGAAAUGCGUAGAGAUCGGGAGGAAUACCAGUGGCGAAGGCGGCCUUCUGGACUGACACUGACGCUGAGGUGCGAAAGCGUGGGUAGCAAACAGGAUUUGAUACCCUAUAGUC